rnacentral:rRNA from 1 species
AACGAACGCUGGCGGCAUGCCUAACACAUGCAAGUCGAACGAGACCUUCGGGUCUAGUGGCGCACGGGUGCGUAACGCGUGGGAAUCUGCCCUUGGGUUCGGAAUAACAGUUGGAAACGACUGCUAAUACCGGAUGAUGACGUAAGUCCAAAGAUUUAUCGCCCAAGGAUGAGCCCGCGUAGGAUUAGCUAGUUGGUGAGGUAAAGGCUCACCAAGGCGACGAUCCUUAGCUGGUCGGAGAGGAUGAUCAGCCACACUGGGACUGAGACACGGCCCAGACUCCUACGGGAGGCAGCAGUGGGGAAUAUUGGACAAUGGGCGAAAGCCUGAUCCAGCAAUGCCGCGUGAGUGAUGAAGGCCUUAGGGUUGUAAAGCUCUUUUACCCGGGAUGAUAAUGACAGUACCGGGAGAAUAAGCUCCGGCUAACUCCGUG